UUAAUGCCGUAUGUGGUCUUGAGAGGGCAUCUGAUCAUGACUAAAGGUUCAGCGGUAACGGAUGGGGAUGCGUCCGAUUAGCUAGACGGCGGGGUAACGGCCCACCGUGGCUACGAUCGGUAGGGGUUCUGAGAGGAAGGUCCCCCACACUGGAACUGAGACACGGUCCAGACUCCUACGGGAGGCAGCAGUGAGGAAUAUUGGUCAAUGGGCGUAAGCCUGAACCAGCCAAGUAGCGUGAGGGAAGACUGCCCUAUGGGUUGUAAACCUCUUUUGUGCGGGGAUAAAGUGAGGGACGUGUCCCUUAUUGCAGGUACCGCACGAAUAAGGACCGGCUAAUUCCGUGCCAGCAGCCGCGGUAAUACGGAAGGUCCGGGCGUUAUCCGGAUUUAUUGGGUUUAAAGGGAGCGCAGGCCGUCCUUUAAGCGUGCUGUGAAAUGCCGCGGCUCAACCGUGGCACUGCAGCGCGAACUGGAGGACUUGAGUACGCACGAGGUAGGCGGAAUUCGUGGUGUAGCGGUGAAAUGCUUAGAUAUCACGAAGAACUCCGAUUGCGAAGGCAGCUUACCGGAGCGCAACUGACGCUGAGGCUC
rnacentral:rRNA from 1 species